ACAUGUAAUAUAUAAUUAUGUGUUAAUUAUCAGCUAUGAAGCAAGAAUAAUAUGAUACUGAAUUCUGAGUAGUCUUGGUCAGCGACAAGUUAAAAUCCUGGACUUGUAAUCUUCCAAGAAACUUUCGAAGGAGGAGAAAUAGUCCAGGAAAUUGGACUCAAGAUAAAACAACUGCUUGAAGAAUCACUCAGAAACUAGAUAAACUAAAAGGAAAUGAGGGCAGAGAACAUUGCAUAGAGAUUCCUGGAACUUGAAGAGGAAGGGGUUCUGAUUUUUAUUUCUAGUUGCAGGAUUGAAAAAAAAUAGACAGUUGAUUUUAUAACAAGAUGCAUCCUCCGUUACAUGACCAGUCAAUAUACUCAGCCGAUGUCCAUCAAGGUCCAAUUCUUGUUUCAGGAGUUCCAAAACCCAAUCCGAUACACCCUUAUGCUCCACAUAUGGCCAUGAGGCACGUUCGUGUUGUAGCAGGGAAGUGGUCCACUGGUCUUUGCCUUUGCUCUGAUAAUCCUGAAAAUUGGUGGAAUGGCAGCAUGUUUCAUGAGUGGAGCAGUAUAUGCGUUGCUGAUGGGUUUUGCAUGCUUCUACUCCUGUUGCUAUUGCUCAAGAUUAAGGGGCCAAUAUGAUUUGGAGGAGGACCCUUGUGUGGAUUGGCUAGUGCACUGCUGCAGAUAUUUAUAAGCUUUCUGUUUCCAUUAGCCUUCAAAAAAAUACAAGUAAAUAAACUUGUCAGAAUGACCCUUGCCGUUAGCCCUUCCUCAGCUACCAGUUGUUCACCGACAGAGUGUUGUGUAGGAAAAUGUUGAACACCUGAAAAUGUUGGACGACAAACUUGGUCUACAUUUACUGGUCUUUAUAUUCGUAAACUUCACUAGCAAAGUUUAUCCAGAGAAUUAUACAAGUUAACAUUUAGAUACCAUGAAAGACAUGCAUGAACAUGUUGGUAUUUUAUGACUCACGGACUUUCUGAUUUUCUUUCAUUAAAUCUGAUCUCCAAUUUCUUGGUUGGAUAACAAUUAGGGGAUCAAAAUGAAGGCAGGGAAGCCAAUAUGCUUAGACAACAGCAUGGAAUUACAAUGGCUCCAACCGUGACCCUAGACAUGACAAGAUGACAGCAAGCCGGCAGUUCUGGCUUUUCUCGCCGCAGCAACAAAUCCUAUCAAUGCUGCUGCUGCUGCUAAUCUCUGUCUGCAGCUAGUAGCCAACCAUACAUUUCGACUCAGAUACGAACUUGUCAAUUGAUUAAGAACCUCCAGGAACAAAGCCUGCGAACUACUUCGGUGCAAUUUAUUCUCAUAAAAUGCAGUAGCAUUCCAACAUGCAAAUAUGAGCUCCAUGGAAUAGGAUGAUUCGGUUCAAAUGAAGCUGUAAAAACAAAAACAGAGAUUCACGGAGAAAUUUGUAUUAUUCGUCAUGCUACUGGUGAUAAGCUUCUUCACUACGAACGCUUUACAUGCCUGGCCCAAUUUACCCAAUUAAAUCUAGAGCAACUAAAAGCUUUUUCUUUUUUCCUUGAAAACCUUUUCUGGUGUUCCAAUUGCUAUUAGAAUGUAUAAAAAUUGAACAUCUUCGGGUUCUUUCACAGAAAAAAUUGAUCUUGCUAAUAGUGUCAUUUUGGCAUCUGCAACUGAAAGCAAUAUAAUUUGCAGCAGAAAAUACCCAAAAUCUCAUAAGCAUACAAAGUAUAUGGAAAUAGUAAGAGAGAAUAUAUUUGCUGCUUGAAUCUGCCGCAUUUGAUUUCCACUAAAGAUCAGAAUGCAGUAACCCUCUCCUUCCCCAACAACA